rfam:Mesocricetus auratus contig162461, whole genome shotgun sequence.
AAAAAUAUUGUGUUUGUUUUGGCAACACAAAUGAUGCAGAGAAGAUUAGCAUGACCAUUGCACAAGGAAGACAUGCAAAUCUGUGGAGCAUCCCAUAAUUUU